GCAUCAAAACCUUAAAGCAUUAAGGGAAUCACAAAUUCUAUAAAUGUGUAGCAACUUUUGGAGAGAGAAGGAUGCUUAUAACCUAAUGGUUAUUUCUGCUAAGCCUUAGUUAUCUUAUAGCAGAAAAAAGAAGGGGAUUGUAAUAGGUAGAAAAAAUGUUUGUUAGUGGAAAAUUAUUGAACUGAAACAGUAUCAUACUGUUAGUGUAACUGAAGUAU